GGUUCCAGGCGCUUGGUCGCCGCGGUUUACAGUGAGUUUUGAAAGCUGGGCAUCCGAUGCCAUCCGUGACCUAUGGGGUGCUGCGGGUUGUGGGGAAUUGGUCGCAGGGACGAGAGGAAGACUGGGAUGUGGCUGUGGGGAGUGGAAACUGCAGGAUGGGGAUGUCGCUUUUAAAUCCUCGGGGAUGGUAGGGAAAGGAAGCGGGGAAGCAGUCGGAUUUGACCCGCGAGUUCAGCCUUGCAAGUUGGGCGAGAGUUGGUCUCGGGGCUUCAUUACCCGAGUUUGAGAGGCAGGGGCUGGCCUCGGGUCGUGCAGGGUGCAGUUAUGGCCAAGUCCAAGAACCACACCACGCACAACCAGUCCAGUGUCUCAGGAAGUCCUCAUCUGGGAAAAUAAUGGUUUCUUUUAAAGAGUGGUAUAGGUAGGGUCUUGCUAAGUUUCCUAGGCUGACCUUGAACUUGCAAUCUUUAUA